rnacentral:rRNA from 1 species
UCGGGAAUUUUGGGCAAUGGGCGAAAGCCUGACCCAGCAACGCCGCGUGAGGGAUGAAGUAUUUCGGUAUGUAAACCUCGAAAGAAUGGGAAGAAUAAAUGACGGUACCAUUUAUAAGCUCCGGCUAACUACGUGCCAGCAGCCGCGGUAAUACGUAGGGAGCAAGCGUUGUUCGGAUUUACUGGGCGUAAAGGGCGCGUAGGCGGCGCGGUAAGUCACUUGUGAAAUCUCUGAGCUUAACUCAGAACGGCCAAGUGAUACUGCUGGGCUAGAGUGCGGAAGAGGCAACCGGAAUUCUUGGUGUAGCGGUGAAAUGCGUAGAUAUCAAGAGGGACACCUGAGGCGAAGGCGGGUUGCUGGGCCGACACUGACGCUGAUG